CGCAUCUCCGAAGCGCCGUCCUAUGGCAAGCCGGUUCUGGUCUACGAUCUCAAGUGCGUCGGCAGCGAAGCGUAUCUGAAACUCGCGACUGAAGUCAUUCAGCGCGAGCGCGAGUUGCGCACGCACUAGGUAGCCAUCGUCACCCAGAGGUGCCGCAGCGAAGCGAAGGCCUCGAAGGGUGACAGAACAAUGCAACCGCCAUCCUUCGAGGCUCGCAAGGGCUUGCACCUCAGG
rnacentral:misc_RNA from 1 species